GGCGUCGCCAGCACGAGACCAAUCGCCCCCCACAGCGCGGUCCAGAAUGUUGCCGAUACCACCACCGCAAAGGGCGAGAGGCCGCUGCUGCGGCCGAACAGCAUCGGCUCCCUCNNCCAGCACGUCGGUGAUGAUGAUCAGCCCGACAGUCCAUACCAGCAUCGACCAGCCGGGAUCGACGGCGAUCGCGAGCGUGAGGGGAAAGAAGGCGGCCACGAAUGCGCCG
rnacentral:misc_RNA from 1 species